GCCUGCGUCCCAUCAGCUAGUUGGUAAGGUAAGGCUUACCAAGGCGAUGACGGGUAGGGGACCUGAGAGGGUGGCCCCCCACACUGGAACUGAAACACGGUCCAGACACCUACGGGUGGCAGCAGUAGGGAAUAUUGCUUAAUGGGCGAAAGCCUGAAGCAGCAACGCCGCGUGUGUGAAGAAGGCCUUCGGGUUGUAAAACACUUUUUGAGGGGAUGAGGAAGGACAGUACCCUCAGAAUAAGCCUCGGCUAACUACGUGCCAGCAGCCGCGGUAAAACGUAGGAGGCGAGCGUUAUCCGGAUUUACUGGGCGUAAAGCGCGUGUAGGCGGCACGGCAAGUUGGAUGUGAAAGCUCCCGGCUUAACUGGGAGAGGUCGUUCAAAACUGCCGAGCUAGAGUGCGGGAGAGGGAGGUGGAAUUCCGGGUGUAGUGGUGAAAUGCGUAGAUAUCCGGAGGAACACCAGUGGCGAAAGCGGCCUCCUGGUCCGCAACUGACGCUCAGACGCGAAAGCUAGGGUAGCAAACGGGAUUAGAGACCCCGGUAGUCCUAGCUGUAAACGAUGUAGACUUGGCGUUGGUGGGUUCAAAUCCAUCAGUGCCGGAGCAAACGCGUUAA
rnacentral:rRNA from 1 species